GACACUGAGCUGGCAGCAAAGAGAUACUCACGGGACAGAGGCUUUAAUAGGAUCAAAGUGAUGGCUCUCUUCAGCUGCAUGGAAAAGUGCAACCCCAUUCCUUAAUGACAAAUGGAGACAUGAGCCUACUACGGGAGUCUGAUCCACAUUACUAGCAGGUAGAGAGGACAGCUGGAGGUUAUUCAAGGCAUCCUGGGUACAGAGGCUCAGCCAGCAUCACCCCAGCAUCAUUCUGAGAGCUUAAAUCAAGCAGACAGCCGGUUGCACAGAGCUGGGCACUUGGGCAAGGGAAGAACAAGCUGAAUCCUCACCUUCACUAAGCCACAUUGUUGAAGUGCUCACCUCUGCACAAGAUUCUCAGCACUCUGCUGUACUCAGGGUUCCACUUAAAUAGAAUGUCCUGCAAAGGAAAGCCCAGCUUGGGGAAGGACCUGCAACUCAGAAGCCCUGGGUUUGGCUUCCUUUGUAUGUAUCCAACUUUUACAGGGUAAAAGCCACCAACAGGUGCAGGCUCAAUACUGAGAAACUGCAACAUUUCUGUCCAGGCACUAUGAGGACGCUUCCAUUGAGUUGCCCAGGCUUAGCAUUUGCAGAUGCCACUAAGGAGAGCUGAAUCCUCGUCCCAUAAAGAUUAUCAGCUAGGGAGGAAAAAACCUCCAUCUCUGCUCAGGAUACCCAGCCAGGAUCUCUCUACCAGACACAAGCCACAAAGCAAAGUCCACCCUGACAGUGGAGAUGAAGUAACUGUUCUAUCCCAGAAAGUCAUUCUGCCCCAGAGGAACAAGAAACUCUUAUCCAGUGACUGAAACACCCUGAAGAAACCUCUUCUGCCUCCUCUUUCCUUCUUCCUCUAUUUUCUCUCACAAUUUUUACAUUUCUAAACCAUUCUCACUAGGGACAUUCUGGCCAACCAAGACCUCUUUGGCAGGUCAGGAAUCCUCGCAGCAGUGGGAAAACCCACAUCAAGAAGAAAGAGUCUCUGAACAAGCCUGCAGGGUCAGGAGGUCUUUGGAAACAUCUGACAUCCAUCCAGCAGUGCUCAGUAGGCCUUGCACUGCUGGUAUGAGUGGCCUGGCUGAGAUGCUCUUGGGACCUCUCCCCUUGGUGUUUGUCUCACACAACCUCACAAGGACAUACACACGGAGUCUGCUAGCACAGUCCUGCACUGAGCAGGCACUAGGACAGAUGGCUCAGAUGGCACAGCCCCAGCAGGUCUCUCUAGGGUUGGCAGGGACUUGCUUUUUUCCCCGAAGACAGAAACUGAGAAGAGGCCUGGAGAUCUUUCCACUUUUCCCCUAAGGGCAAGGAUGGCCCUGUUCAUAGCCCAGGCCUCCGUGAAACCCUUUGGGCAGCAAGGCAGACAUCUCUCCAGCUCUGGGCCAGAGAGAAGGUGGCACCAACUCCCCCACACCAAAUCCUUACGCAGUGCUGUCAGCAUCUCCAGCUGGCUGGAGGCAGGAAGGGUGGGCUAUGAGACAGACACGUUAAUGUUCCUCCUUUCCUCUUCAUUUCUCUCUCUUUUUAAGCUUUGCUUUUCCCCCCCUCAUCAUACAGGCCUCAGACCAACAGCAGCCAUGAACCCUCACAAGGCAGAAGAGGGGCCUUGGGAGGUCUGGAGGCAGAGAUGGUGUUUCUCUGCACAGAGGUGUUUGCUGCAGACCAGCUCUCACAUGUGCUUCAGCACAGGCAGACUGCCACCAGCAAAUGAUGUAGUAAGUGCCUGCAAUCCUGCUCCAGAGAAGACAACGCAGGCCAUUUGGCUGCAGGAGGAUCACAGGAUAUAUAUUAAAAGAGCCUAUUAAACUAACUUUGGUCGUGCUCCAAAUCACAUUGAAAGUUGGAGGAAAGACUCCUGUUGACAUGAAUGGGUUUUGGAUGGGGUUGAAUACCAUUAACCUGGGUGCUCAGAAGCAAACCCAGUCGAGUCCUGUGGUUAUUGCUGCGUGUCAGCCAUCCCUAAUAAAAUAAAGAAG
rnacentral:lncRNA from 7 species